UUCGUUAUGAAGAGUUUGAUCCUGGCUCAGGAUAAACGUUGGCGACGUAUUUUAUGCAUGCAAGUCGAACGGUUCUUCGGAACCGUGGCGAACGGGUGAGUAACACGUAGGCACCUGCCCAGAAGUGGGGGACAACCCUCCUAACGGAGGACUAAUACCCCAUGUGAUCUUCGGAUCAAAGCCUUAGGGCGCUUCUGGAUGGGCCUGCGGCGGAUUAGCUUGUCGGUGAGGUAACGGCUCACCGAGGUGACGAUCUGUAGCUGGUCUGAGAGGACGAACAGCCACACAGGGACUGAGACACGGCCCUGACUCCUUAGGGGGGCAGCAGCAAAGAAAUUUGCGCAAUGGACGAAAGUCUGACGCAGUAACGUCGCGUGGGGGAUGAAGGCCUUCGGGUUGUAAACCCCUUUUAUGAGUGAAGAAGAUCUGACGGUAACUCAUGAAUAAGUCACGGCUAACUACGUGCCAGCAGCCGCGGUAAUACGUAGGUGGCAAACGUUGUCCGGAUUCACUGGGCGUAAAGCGCGCGCAGGCGGAUUGGUAAGUCGAUUAGGUGAAAUCUCCAGGCUCAACUUGGAGAGGCCCUGCGAUACUGCCAAUCUAGAGGCACCUAGAGGAGAGUGGAAUUAACAGUGGAGGGGUGGAAUCCGUAGAUAUUGUUAGGAACACCAGUGGCGAAAGCGGCUCUCUGGGGGUGUACUGACGCUGAGGCGCGAAAGCGUGGGGAGCGAACGGGAUUAGAUACCCCGGUAGUCCACGCCGUAAAC
rnacentral:rRNA from 1 species